rnacentral:pre_miRNA from 1 species
GGAAUUCCUGGCAGAGUGAUUUUUGAGACUACAGGACUGAAUCACAUUGCCAGGGAUUUCCA